AAAUCUGCGUCGUCUUCGCUCGAUUUUUAGGGCUCCCAAACAAAGCGACAAAGGCUCCGUUGGUGCACAUUUCGGAACUCUCUUUUUUUGCAAUUUUAACUCUUUAAAAUGCACUCUAGUGUUGUGAACCAGGUUUUAUGAUAGUGUUGUGUACGCAAUUUUUGCUUCUUAUCGCUUUACAUGAUGUGAAUUUGUGUACCAAAGAGAAGCAGAGUAGUGAGGAUUGGGAUUAUAACAACCAUGUGAGUAUUAGAUAUUUGAUAGCAUAAAUGCGUAAUUAAUUUGUAAUGGUGUUAAGAACUUAUGCUUCUCAUUGCAAGAAUUUUUGUGGCUUCUAAAUUGUUUAAUUGAUUGUUAGAUUGGUCAAAUUAUCCAGUGGAGUAUGGCAUAUUUAAGUUUUCCUUGUUGAUAUCCUAGAAUUGAGGUGGUUAUCCCUUGCAUUUGUUAGUUUCUGCAUAUGUUUUGUGUUUCAGUGUUACUAGGGCAAUGAUUUCUUUGGUGACUUUUGAUGUGUGCAAUGAAUAAGUGCUGUAUUUAAAUUAUUUUAAAUUAGCUUACUUUUCAAAAAAAAAAAAAGUUUGAGAAAGGUUUCAUAUUGGGGAAAAGCUGUUAAAAAAAUCUGAUGCUUUACUUGAUAUCUAAGCGUCAAGGACACUGACACGGGACGCGACACGACUCGGACACCGUGAUUCGGCAACUUUCAAAAAAUUAGGACACGGACACGGCAUGAGUAUUGCUAAUAAAAUAUAAUAUUAUUAAUAUAAUAAUAUAUUUUUAUUAUGUAUAAAAUAUUGAUUUUGGUAAAAUAUUAUUAUUAUUUCUCUUACGAAUUAAAGUUAAUACAAUUUUUAUUGAUAGUUCAUAUAUUUUAAGAAAAGAAAUUAUCCACCAUACAUNCAGAGAAUCAGUAAUUCAAGUCUGGAGUAAUUAUUCGAUUUUGAACUAUAAAAAUCCGGUGCACAUCGACAAAGAUAUCUGAUAUAUAUAUAUAUAUAUAUAUAUAUAUAUAUAUAUAUAUUUUAGUUGUAUGUAUUAUAAAUCGGCAUUAAAUGGGCGUCCAAAGAGUGUCCACAUCGGACACGUGUCCGACACGGACACGUGCGCGUCCAACACGGACACCCGAGGCUUACAAAAGUGUCCGUGAUACAUAGCUUGAUAUGAUAUUAGCUAUUGUAGGUUAUUGUGGUUGCUGCAAUUUCGUGUAGGUUAGAGUACUUAGAAGAAAGGAAGAGAGAGGGAAGAGGAAGAGGAAUUAAGAGAAAAUAUUUUUUUUGUCAUUUUUGUUGUAAGUUAAUUACAUAUUGGGAUUGCUAGAAUCUGUUUCAGCAUGGCUCAUUUGCCAAUCUGUUUUCAUCAUAGUGACGGUUGAGUAUAUCCUUUGCAUCUUUUUGUUUUGAUGAACUGCUGUGCAUAUCAAUAUGCAGUUGAAUUAGUAUUGCUUUUAAUUGCUAGAAACUAGGGCAAAACAGAGAGAAAAGGAAAACUUGGAGCCAUAAGAAUUGUAUUAACCCUUUUUUUAGGAUUUGCAGCUGGAAAAUCUGUGAUGUAUAUAUAUACGAAAUUUUGUGUCUUUAGGACCUGUAGGUCAUUUAUGUAUGCAUGAUAAAAGAUUAAUGGCUGGUUAAGAGAAGGUUCCAUGGCCUCGCUCAAGUGAUCCUCAUUUUAGUUAUGUGCCGGCGCACCCGUUUAGUUCUUUCACUUACGGUAUCAAUGCUUCCUUAAAAUGUUAAUGUUUCUAAAAGUGUGAUAUAUCAAUUAGAGGUGUUUUAUGAAUUCAACUUUAACAGGCUUUCUGCAGGUGGUUUACUUCUUUUUGUUCAGUGAGGAGCCAUAAUUCAAUAAGGACUAGGACCACACCUGCAGCUUAUGAUUGGACCGCUCUCACUAGGGUCUCUUUCAAGUAAUUCCUGCUUUCAUUUUUAAUAUGUUCCUCUUUCUACUUUUCUUGAUUUAUUUUACAUGCCAAGCACUUUAAUUUUUUUUUGUUCUACCACUUGUUUCUUUUCUUGGUACUUUUUGGUUGUGGGUAAUGAUUAGUGUCAUUUUGUUACUUUUUAUUUUUCUUUUUCUUGUGUUAUAUCAACUCCACAUUGUAAUUUAGGUUGGAAAUUGUAUCAAGUAUCAACUAUGUUUCUUAGUUCUUCUAUAGUGGAAAAACUGUGUUAGUGUAGUAGUUUUGGUUCCUUUUCAGCUUCUGUCAUUUCAUCUGCAACUUGUGCAAAAGAUGCUUCAUUAAGGUGCAGUUUGGAAUCUCCUUUACUGCUUUAUGUAAACAACGGUGGCUUGGUUUCUCCUUUUUUCACGAAACUGCGAUUCUAGACUUAUCUGAUCUUGGUAUUUUCAUUCUGUUAAUUAAAUUAAAGUGGUUUUCCCUUGUACGUUAAACAUGUGAAGAUUGUGCUCAACUCUCCUUCACCAUUUGAAGUCUGACUAUAUUAGUUCUGAAAAUGACAUCUCUCUGGCCUUGGUAACCAUUUUACCGGUCUCCACCUUCACCCCUUUCUUCUUCUUUUUCUCUCUCUUUUUUUAUAAAAAUAUAUGUGUUCGAUCUUCCGGUUUGUGCAUCGUUUUUUUAAUCUUAUUUUUAACUUGGACGGUAUAUUUCAGUUAUUUAUUUUUGCUCUCUCUUUUCUUCUCCCUUGCUUUUCUCAUUUUGUUCUUAAUAUUUGAUUGUCGUUUUCCUUUUUUCCC
rnacentral:lncRNA from 1 species